rnacentral:rRNA from 1 species
CCUACGGGAGGCAGCAGUGAGGAAUAUUGGUCAAUGGGCGCGAGCCUGAACCAGCCAAGUCGCGUGAGGGAAGACGGUCCUAUGGAUUGUAAACCUCUUUUGUCGGGGAGCAAAAGACGCCACGCGUGGCGUUCCGAGAGUACCCGAAGAAAAAGCAUCGGCUAACUCCGUGCCAGCCGCCGCGGUAAUACGGAGGAUGCGAGCGUUAUCCGGAUUUAUUGGGUUUAAAGGGUGCGCAGGCGGAAGAGCAAGUCAGCGGUAAAAUUGAGAGGCUCAACCUCUUCGAGCCGUUGAAACUGGUUUUCUUGAGUGAGCGAGAAGUAUGCGGAAUGCGUGGUGUAGCGGUGAAAUGCAUAGAUAUCACGCAGAACUCCGAUUGCGAAGGCAGCAUACCGGCGCUCAACUGACGCUCAUGCACGAAAGUGUGGGUAUCGAACAGGAUUAGAUACCCUGGUAGUC